rnacentral:ncRNA from 1 species
AAACUUUUUCGGGGCAGGGUGAGGUUAAAUUAAAAGAUAACCAAUUCCCGACCGGUGGUAAAUUCUUUCUAUUGUUUUAUAUCAAUGAUUGAAUAAGCCCACGAGUCGAGUACACAACGAAGUUAAUAAUCUUUAAAAAUGAAAUCAAUAUUUUUUAAAAGAUUAUACUUUAAACUUAAAUUAUUUAUUGUGUGCUUGGCAGAUCUGGUGAAAAGCCAGAGCCGACAGUAAAGUCUGGAAGGGAGAAGAAGUAA